UAUUUAUAUAUCUGAGGUAGACAGAGACGGUAACGGAAUCAAAACCGGCAUUGCUUUUCCCAGUCUGCAAGACGAAGGUGAAGUCACUCAAUCCAGUCCCUGAGGCCUGUUGAGGGGACCAUACCAAGGACUCCUGGUAACAGCUAGCUGAAAGAGCUACCCGGAUUCAUAUCACACUGAGGGAGGGUAAGACACAUUGACACUGUCGAACAAGCACAGUGUCCGAGAGGAGAACUGGAAUUAACAGAAUUCCGGGGGCCAUCUCUCGGAUGAAGAUUUCCUUUUCCCGUCAUUCCAUUCCUGUGUUUGUUCGUAGAAGUGAAAGUGUGUCUGGCUUCUUGCUGAUGAUGUUUUCUCUGGGAGAGGGUGGGGCUUUAUAGGUGGGCGGUCCAUCCUGAGCUGUCUGGUUGUGGGAGCCAUAUUCCUGAUACACCAUGAACCCCAAGAAGGCCAGAGGGUAAUAUUGACACAUAGUUAGACAAUGAGG